rnacentral:antisense_RNA from 1 species
GGGGCUCCCAGAACCCACUCUCCCCAAAGGCGAGUUUCCCAGACGCCGCUCGUGCUGUUGCUGGAAAGCGAGCUCGCUGUAGACCGGCCGCGACACCACGUAGCUGCAGCUGUACUCGGGGAGCUGCGGCGGCUCCGACCUGCCGCGUGGCGCUGCCAUGACCUGCGAGCCAGAGGACAGCGAGGAGGGAGGAGACGCGACAUGAUCUCAUUCUGUUGCCCAGGGUGAGUGCAGCGGCACCUUCAUGGCUCAUUGCAGUCUCGAUCUCCCAGGCUCAAGCGAUCCUCCCACCUCAGCCUCCCAAAGUGCUGAGAUUGCAGGUGUGAGCCACCUUGCCCAGACCAUUCUGCAAUCUUCGGAAGGAAGUCAUUAUAUGCAGCCUACGCUUGAGGAGUGGGGAGUUGAAUUCCACAUCCUUGAGGGCAGAAUACCUAAAUAAAUUAUUUGGAAUUCUUCU